rnacentral:siRNA from 1 species
GGCCAAAUCGACUCACCGUUAACA